rnacentral:misc_RNA from 1 species
UUUCCGUAGGUGAACCUGCGGAAGGAUCAUUACUGUAUUACCGAGGUGCAAGGCCUGAUGCUGACCCGACCGAUCGUUCACGCCCCAGUGCCCUCCCACCCCUCCAUCUCACCCCUAUGUGCACCACCGCGUGCCUCCACCUUUUGUUUGUUCUGCGGGGGUCUUACGUUUUCACACGCACUUAUAAUGCAGUAUUGAAUAUAAUUUUUGUUUUUGCGCUCACACAGUCAAUACACCUAUCUACAACGGAUCUCUUGCCUCUCGCAUCGAUGAAGAACA